CCUAGUUGAUCCUGACCGUAGCAUAUGCUUGUCUCAAAGAUUAAGCCAUCCGUGUCUAAGUAUGCACAGCUGGUACAGUGACACUGCAAAUGGCUCCUUAAAUCAGUUAUGGUUCCAUUGGUCGCUCGCUCCUCUCCUACUUGGAUAUCUGUGGUAAUUCUAGAGCUAAUACAUGCCCAGGGGCGCUGACCCCCCUCGCGGGGGCGGGGGAAGGGGAAAUGUGUGCCUUUUUCAGAUUAAAACCAACCUGGUCAGCCUCCCUUGGCCCUCCCUGGCUGGGAGGCAGGCGCCAGUGGCUUUGGUGACUCUAGAUAACCUCGGGGGAUUGCACACCCCCCAGGUGGCAAUGACCCAUUCGGUCCUCUGCCCUAUCAACUUCUGAUGGUAGUCGCCUGCCUACCACGGUGACCACAGGUGAUGGAGAAUCAGGGUUCGAUUCUGGAGAGGGAGCCUGAGAAAACAGCUACCACUUCCAAGGAGGGCAGCAGGCAGGCAAAUUACCCACUCCCGACCCUGGAGGUAGUGACAAAAAAUAACGAUACAGGACUCUUUCAAGGCCCUGUCAUUGGAAUGAGUCCACUUUAUUUCCUUGAACAGGGAUCCAUUGGAGGGCAAGCCUGGUGCCAGCAGCCGCAGUAAUUCCAGCUCCAAAUGGUAUAUUAAAGUUGCUGCAGUUACAAAGCUCAUAGUUAGGGACGCCUGGGUGGCUCAAGUGGUUGGGCAUCUACCUUGGCUCAGGGAGUGAUCCCGCAGUCCCGGGAUAGAGUCCCUACAAUGGGCUCCCUGCAGGGAGCUUGCUUCUUCCUCUGCCUAUCUCUCUGCCUCUGUGUGUCUCUCAUGAAUAAAUAAAUAAAAUCUUUAAAAAAAAAAAAGCUCGUAGUUGGAUAUUGGGGGGGCGGUCUGCCUCAAGGCAAGCCACCACCCAUCCCUGCCCCUUGCCUCUUGACGCCCCCUUCAUGCUCUUAGCUGAGUGUUCUGCGGGGCACAAAGCAUUUACUUUGAAAAUUAGAGUGUUCAAAGAAGGCCUGAGCCACCUGGAUACUGCGGCUAGGAAUAACAGAAUAGGACCAUGGUUCUAUUUUGUUGGUUUUCGGAACUGAGGCCAUGAUUAAGAGGGAUGGCUGGAGGCAUUCAUAUUGCACCUCUAGAGGUGAAAUUCUUGGUCUGGCACAAGACGGACCAGAGCAAAAGCAUUUGCCAAGAAUGUUUUCAUUAAUCAAGAUCGAAAGUCGGAGGUUUGAAGACGGAUCAGACACCAUAAAUGAUGCCGACUGGCAACGCAGCAGCAUUAUUCUGAUGACCUGCUGGGCAGCUUCUGGGAAACCAAAGUCUUUGGGGGGGGGGUAUGGUUGCAAAGCUGAAACUUAAAGGUACUGACCGAAGGACACCACGAGGAGUGGAGCCUGCGGCUUAAUUUGACUCAACACAGGAAACCUCACCAGCCAGGACACGGACAUGACUGACACAUUGAUAGCUCUUUCUCAGUUCCGGGGGUGGUGAUGUAUGGCUGUUCUUACUUGGUGGAGCGAUUUGUCUGGUUAAUUCCGAUAAUGAAGGAGACUCUGGUAUGCUAACUAGUUACAUGACCCCAGAGUGCUUGGCGUCCCCCAACUUCUUAGAGGGACAAGUGGCGUUCAGCCACCCGAGAUUGAGCAAUAACAGGUCUGUGAUGCCCUUAGAUUCCUGGGGCUGCACGUGCGCUCCACUGACUGGCUCAGCAUGUGCCUACCCUACACCGGCAGGUGGGGUAACCCAUUGAACCCCCAUUCAUGAUGGGGUUUGGGGAUUGCAAUUAUUUCCCAUAAACGAGGAAUUCCCAGUAAGUGCGGGUCAUAAGCCUGUGUUGAUUAAGUCCCUCCCCUUUGUACACACCAUCUGUCUCUACUACGUUACUACUACUCAUUGGAUAGUUUAGUGAGACCCUCCGAUUGGCCCGAGGGGACGGCCCACAGUCCAGGCGGAGGGCUGAGAAGACGGUGGAACUUGACUAUCUAGAGGAAGUAGAAGUCCUAACAAGGUUUCCAUAGGUGAACCUGUGGAAG
rnacentral:rRNA from 1 species